rnacentral:rRNA from 1 species
UACGUAGGCAGCAAGCGUUGUUCGGAUUUACUGGGCGUAAAGGGCGCGUAGGCGGCGCGGUAAGUCACUUGUGAAAUCUCUGAGCUUAACUCAGAACGGCCAAGUGAUACUGCAGUGCUAGAGUGUGGAAGGGGCAAUCGGAAUUCUUGGUGUAGCGGUGAAAUGCGUAGAUAUCAGGAAGAACACCCGUGGCGAAGGCGGUUCUCUGGAACGCAACUGACGCUGAGACGCGAAAGCGUGGGGAGCAAACAGG